GAGAGGUGUCUGAGUGGUCGAAAGUGCCAGACUCGAAAUCUGGUGUUCAGAAACCUGAACCGAGGGUUCAAAUCCCUCCCUCUCC
rnacentral:tRNA from 1 species